AUUGAACGCUGGCGGCAUGCUUUACACAUGCAAGUCGAACGGUAACAGGGUGCUUGCACCGCUGACGAGUGACGAACGGGUGAGUAAUGCGUCGGAACGUGCCGAGUAGUGGGGGAUAACGCAGCGAAAGUUGUGCUAAUACCGCAUACGUACUGAGGUAGAAAGUGGGGGACCUUCGGGCCUCACGCUAUUCGAGCGGCCGACGUCUGAUUAGCUAGUAGGUGAGGUAAAGGCUCACCUAGGCGACGAUCAGUAGCGGGUCUGAGAGGAUGAUCCGCCACACUGGGACUGAGACACGGCCCAGACUCCUACGGGAGGCAGCAGUGGGGAAUUUUGGACAAUGGGCGAAAGCCUGAUCCAGCCAUGCCGCGUGUCUGAAGAAGGCCUUCGGGUUGUAAAGGACUUUUGUCAGGGAGGAAAUCCCUAGUGCUAAUUACACUGGGGGAUGACAGUACCUGAAGAAUAAGCACCGGCUAACUACGUGCCAGCCGCCGCAGUAA
rnacentral:rRNA from 1 species